GCGAGGGUAGCCAAGCCUGGUCAACGGCGCUAGAUUCAGGGUCUAGUCCUUAGUGGUUCCCGAGUUCGAAUCUCGGCCCUCGCA
rnacentral:tRNA from 1 species